rnacentral:rRNA from 1 species
AACGAACGCUGGCGGCAUGCCUAACACAUGCAAGUCGAACGAGAUCUUCGGGUCUAGUGGCGCACGGGUGCGUAACGCGUGGGAAUCUGCCCUUUGGUUCGGAAUAACAGUUGGAAACGACUGCUAAUACCGGAUGAUGGCGAAAGUCCAAAGAUUUAUCGCCAGAGGAUGAGCCCGCGUAGGAUUAGCUAGUUGGUGUGGUAAAGGCGCACCAAGGCGACGAUCCUUAGCUGGUCUGAGAGGAUGAUCAGCCACACUGGGACUGAGACACGGCCCAGACUCCUACGGGAGGCAGCAGUGGGGAAUAUUGGACAAUGGGCGAAAGCCUGAUCCAGCAAUGCCGCGUGAGCGAUGAAGGCCUUAGGGUUGUAAAGCUCUUUUACCCGGGAUGAUAAUGACAGUACCGGGAGAAUAAGCUCCGGCUAACUCCGUGCCAGCCGCCGCAGUAA